rnacentral:rRNA from 1 species
UUGUAAGUGUGUAAGAGCGUACGGUGGAUGCCUUGGCACCAGGAGCCGAUGAAGGACGUAGGAGGCUGCGAUAAGCCUCGGGGAGCUGUCAACCGAGCUGUGAUCCGAGGGUGUCCGAAUGGGGAAACCCAGCACGAGUGAUGUCGUGUUACCCGCAUCUGAAUAUAUAGGGUGUGUGGAGGGAACGUAGGGAAGUGAAACAUCUCAGUACCUACAGGAAGAGAAAACAACAUGUGAUUCCGUGAGUAGUGGCGAGCGAAAGCGGAUGAGGCUAAACCAUGGAUGUGUGAUAGCCGGCGGGCGUUGCAUUCGUGGGGUUGUGGGAUCCAUUGUGUCAAUUCUGCCGGGUUGGCCAACAGUGAGAAAUCGUUGUGUUAGGCGAAGUGGUCUGGAACGGCCUGUCGUAGAGGGUGAGAAUCCCGUAGCCGAAAAUGUGACGACUGUUGAUAUGGACACCCAAGUAGCAGCGGGCCCGUGAAAUCUGCUGUGAAUCUGUCGGGACCACCCGAUAAGCCUGAAUACUCCCUGGUGACCGAUAGCGGACUAGUACCGUGAGGGAAAGGUGAAAAGUACCCCGGGAGGGGAGUGAAAUAGUACCUGAAACCGUGCGCUUACAAUCCGUCAAAGCUGAUGCAGUCUUUAGUGGCUGGUUGGUGAUGGCGUGCCUUUUGAAGAAUGAGCCUGCGAGUUAGUGCUCGGUGGCGAGGUUAACCCGUGUGGGGUAGCCGUAGCGAAAGCGAGUCCGAAUAGGGCGUUAGAGUCGCCGGGUCUAGACCCGAAGCGGAGUGAUCUACCCAUGGCCAGGUUGAAGCGACGGUAAGACGUCGUGGAGGACCGAACCCACUUCAGUUGAAAAUGGAGGGGAUGAGCUGUGGGUAGGGGUGAAAGGCCAAUCAAACUCCGUGAUAGCUGGUUCUCCCCGAAAUGCAUUUAGGUGCAGCGUCGCAUGUUUCUCGCUGGAGGUAGAGCUACUGGAUGGCCGAUGGGCCCUACAAGGUUACUGACGUCAGCCAAACUCCGAAUGCCAGUGAGUGAGAGUGCGGCAGUGAGACUGCGGGCGAUAAGGUUCGUAGUCGAGAGGGAAACAGCCCAGAUCGCCGGCUAAGGCCCCUAAGCGUGUACUAAGUGGAAAAGGAUGUGGGGUCGCGAAGACAACCAGGAGGUUGGCUUAGAAGCAGCCACCCUUGAAAGAGUGCGUAAUAGCUCACUGGUCAAGUGAUCCUGCGCCGACAAUGUAGCGGGGCUCAAGUACACCGCCGAAGCCGCGGCACUCACACGUUAGCCCGUCUUUCUCCUGCGGGAGUUGGACUAGGUGUGUGGGUGGGUAGGGGAGCGUCCUGCAUCCAUGGAAGCAUCGGAGUGAUCCAGGUGUGGAGGGUGUGGGAGUGAGAAUGCAGGCAUGAGUAGCGAAAGCGAAGUGAGAAACUUCGCCGCCGAAUGACCAAGGGUUCCUGGGCCAGGCUAAUCCGCCCAGGGUGAGUCGGGACCUAAGGCGAGGCCGACAGGCGUAGUCGAUGGACAACGGGUUGAUAUUCCCGUACCCGUGUAGUCGCGUCCGUGAUGAAUCAGCAGUACUAACCAUCCUGAAGAUCAAGGGUUACCUUCGGGUUUCGUUUGGUUGGAUGCAUGGGACCUUUGCUGGUAGUAGUCAAGCGAUGGGGUGACGCAGGAAGGUAGUGGGGCCAGUCAGUGGUUGUACUGGUGUAAGCCUGUAGGGAGAGACAUAGGCAAAUCCGUGUCUCACAUAUCCUGAGAGGUGAUGCGUAGCCGAAUGAGGCGAAUUCCAUGAUCCUAUGCUGCCGAGAAAAGCCUCUAGCGAGUGGCGACACGGCCCGUACCCCAAACCAACACAGGUGGUCAGGUAGAGAAUACUAAGGCGAUCGAGAGAACUGUGGUUAAGGAACUCGGCAAAAUGCCCCCGUAACUUCGGGAGAAGGGGGACCACGUCUGGUGAUCAACUUUUCGUUGUGAGCUGGGUGUGGUCGCAGAGACCAGAGAGAAGCGACUGUUUACUAAAAACACAGGUCCGUGCGAAGUCGUAAGACGAUGUAUACGGACUGACGCCUGCCCGGUGCUGGAAGGUUAAGAGGACCGGUUAACACUUCGGUGUGAAGCUGAGAAUUUAAGCCCCAGUAAACGGCGGUGGUAACUAUAACCAUCCUAAGGUAGCGAAAUUCCUUGUCGGGUAAGUUCCGACCUGCACGAAUGGCGUAACGACUUCUCUGCUGUCUCAACCACAGACUCGGCGAAAUUGCAUUACGAGUAAAGAUGCUCGUUACGCGCGGCAGGACGAAAAAGACCCCGGGACCUUCACUAUAGCUUGGUAUUGGUGUUCGGUUCGGUUUGUGUAGGAUAGGUGGGAGACUGUGAAGCAUGCACGCCAGUGUGUGUGGAGUCGUUGUUGAAAUACCACUCUGAUCGUAUUGGAUAUCUAACCUCGGACCAUGAUCUGGUUCAGGGACAGUGCCUGGUGGGUAGUUUAACUGGGGCGGUUGCCUCCUAAAAUGUAACGGAGGCGCCCAAAGGUUCCCUCAGCCUGGUUGGCAAUCAGGUGUUGAGUGUAAGUGCACAAGGGAGCUUGACUGUGAGACGUACAUGUCGAGCAGGGACGAAAGUCGGGACUAGUGAUCCGGCACCGGCAAGUGGAAGCGGUGUCGCUCAACGGAUAAAAGGUACCCCGGGGAUAACAGGCUGAUCUUCCCCAAGAGUCCAUAUCGACGGGAUGGUUUGGCACCUCGAUGUCGGCUCGUCGCAUCCUGGGGCUGGAGUAGGUCCCAAGGGUUGGGCUGUUCGCCCAUUAAAGCGGCACGCGAGCUGGGUUUAGAACGUCGUGAGACAGUUCGGUCUCUAUCCGCCGCGCGCGUAAGAAACUUGAGGAAACCUGUCCCUAGUACGAGAGGACCGGGACGGACGAACCUCUGGUGUGCCAGUUGUCCUACCAAGGGCACCGCUGGUUAGCUACGUUCGGAAGGGAUAACCGCUGAAAGCAUCUAAGCGGGAAGCCUGUUCCAAGAUGAGGUUUCUCACCCUCUUAGCAGGGGUAAGGCCCCCCACAGACCAUGGGGUAGAUAGGCCAGAACUGGAAGCCCGGUAACGGGUGCAGGUGACUGGUACUAAUCGGCCGAGGACUUACAACC